CCUUGUACACACCGCCCCGUCACACCAUGGGAGCGGGUUCUGCCAGAAGUAGUUAGCCUAACCGCAAGGAGGGCGAUUACCACGGCAGGGUUCGUGACUGGGGUG
rnacentral:rRNA from 1 species